GUUUGAUCCUGGCUCAGGACGAACGCUGGCGGCGUGCCUAAUACAUGCAAGUCGAACGCUUCUUUUUCCACCGGAGCUUGCUCCACCGGAAAAAGAGGAGUGGCGAACGGGUGAGUAACACGUGGGUAACCUGCCCAUCAGAAGGGGAUAACACUUGGAAACAGGUGCUAAUACCGUAUAACAAUCGAAACCGCAUGGUUUUGAUUUGAAAGGCGCUUUCGGGUGUCGCUGAUGGAUGGACCCGCGGUGCAUUAGCUAGUUGGUGAGGUAACGGCUCACCAAGGCCACGAUGCAUAGCCGACCUGAGAGGGUGAUCGGCCACAUUGGGACUGAGACACGGCCCAAACUCCUACGGGAGGCAGCAGUAGGGAAUCUUCGGCAAUGGACGAAAGUCUGACCGAGCAACGCCGCGUGAGUGAAGAAGGUUUUCGGAUCGUAAAACUCUGUUGUUAGAGAAGAACAAGGAUGAGAGUAACUGUUCAUCCCUUGACGGUAUCUAACCAGAAAGCCACGGCUAACUACGUGCCAGCAGCCGCGGUAAUACGUAGGUGGCAAGCGUUGUCCGGAUUUAUUGGGCGUAAAGCGAGCGCAGGCGGUUUCUUAAGUCUGAUGUGAAAGCCCCCGGCUCAACCGGGGAGGGUCAUUGGAAACUGGGAGACUUGAGUGCAGAAGAGGAGAGUGGAAUUCCAUGUGUAGCGGUGAAAUGCGUAGAUAUAUGGAGGAACACCAGUGGCGAAGGCGGCUCUCUGGUCUGUAACUGACGCUGAGGCUCGAAAGCGUGGGGAGCAAACAGGAUUAGAUACCCUGGUAGUCCACGCCGUAAACGAUGAGUGCUAAGUGUUGGAGGGUUUCCGCCCCUCAGUGCUGCAGCUAACGCAUUAAGCACUCCGCCUGGGGAGUACGACCGCAAGGUUGAAACUCAAAGGAAUUGACGGGGGCCCGCACAAGCGGUGGAGCAUGUGGUUUAAUUCGAAGCAACGCGAAGAACCUUACCAGGUCUUGACAUCCUUUGACCACUCUAGAGAUAGAGCUUCCCCUUCGGGGGCAAAGUGACAGGUGGUGCAUGGUUGUCGUCAGCUCGUGUCGUGAGAUGUUGGGUUAAGUCCCGCAACGAGCGCAACCCUUAUUGUUAGUUGCCAUCAUUCAGUUGGGCACUCUAGCAAGACUGCCGGUGACAAACCGGAGGAAGGUGGGGAUGACGUCAAAUCAUCAUGCCCCUUAUGACCUGGGCUACACACGUGCUACAAUGGGAAGUACAACGAGUYGCGAAGUCGCGAGGCUAAGCUAAUCUCUUAAAGCUUCUCUCAGUUCGGAUUGCAGGCUGCAACUCGCCUGCAUGAAGCCGGAAUCGCUAGUAAUCGCGGAUCAGCACGCCGCGGUGAAUACGUUCCCGGGCCUUGUACACACCGCCCGUCACACCACGAGAGUUUGUAACACCCGAAGUCGGUGAGGUAACCUUUUGGAGCCAGCCGCCUAAGGUGGGAUAGAUGAUUGGGGUGAAGUCGUAACAAGGUAGCCGUAUCGGAAGGUGCGGCUGGAUCACCU
rnacentral:rRNA from 1 species